CCUAUUUAUUAGGUUGGUGAAAAAGUAAUUGUGCAUUUUGCCAUAAAAGGAUGACAAACACUGCAAUUACUUUUGCACCAACCCAAUAUUAGGGAUAAUAGGACAAU
rnacentral:miRNA from 1 species